GUGGAUUAGAUACCCUGGUAGUCCACGCUGUAAACGAUGGGCACUAGGUGUUCGGGGUAUUGACCCCCUGAGUGCCGAAGCUAACGCAUUAAGUGCCCCGCCUGGGGAGUACGGCCGCAAGGUUAAAACUCAAAGGAAUUGACGGGGGCCCGCACAAGCGGUGGAGCAUGUGGUUCAAUUCGACGCAACGCGAAGAACCUUACCUGGGCUAGACAACAUCGGACAUCCCUAGAAAUAGGGCCUUCCCGCAAGGGACCGGUGGUUCAGGUGCUGCAUGGUCGUCGACAGCU
rnacentral:rRNA from 1 species